CCUACGGGGUGCAGCAGUAGGGAAUCUUCGGCAAUGGUCGAAAGUCUGACCGAGCAACGCCGCGUGAGUGAAGAAGGUUUUCGGUACGUAAAGCCCUAUCAGCAGGAAAGAAAAUGACGGUACCUGACUAAGAAGCCCCGGCUAACUACGUGCCAGCAGCCGCGGUAAUACGUAGGGGGCAAGCGUUAUCCGGAUUUACUGGGUGUAAAGGGAGCGUAGACGGCAGUGCAAGUCCGGAGUGAAAGCCCGGGGCUCAACCCUGGGACUGCUCUGGAAACUGUAAAGCUGGAGUGCGGGAGGGGCAGGCGGAAGUCCUGGUGUAGCGGUGAAAUGCGUAGAUAUCAGGAGGAACACCGGCGGCGAAGGCGGCCUGCUGGACCGUAACUGACGUUGAGGCUCGAAAGCGUGGGGAGCAAACAGGAUUAGAUACCCGAGUAGUC
rnacentral:rRNA from 1 species